rnacentral:lncRNA from 1 species
CGCCACGUGCCUUGGGGGAGCCUUGGGUCUCGCACCCGGGUGAUCCAGGUGGUGCGUGAGGUUCGAGAGGGCGUGGCCGGGGCAGGCCAUUUGGAAGGCAGUCACUCUCAUUGCUCGGUUUUACCAAGUGCGAGGCUACCUGCCGAGCCGUUGUGCUAACGAAGGGGGAUGCUUGACGCGCGUGGAUGGCCCUAUCGAAAUAUCCCUGAGAGGGCAGAGUGGCAGUCCCCCUGCCCGGGUCCGAGAGCUCGAGACCAUCAGCUUCACCGUCUGGAUAACGAUGAGAGGAAAUUUUCCCGUCCCUGUCAAGCCCUCGUGAGUCCCGUUCUCUGUCGCUGUCAGCUUGUUCCUCGACCGCAGCGGGCCCACGAUCGUACUCUCCAGCUCCUAUGAGAGGACCCGAAACAACAGCGUCACCUCCACAGUACUCUACAAAGCUGCUGUAGUCCGUAAAACUAUUCACCCGCCAUGUAUGGCUAUUGAAUGAAGAGGAACUCGCCGCCGGAGAGGCGCCUGUUGAAAACUCUCCCCCUUCACUGUGUCCUGGACGCAAAACCGGACGCCUUCUCGGGCUGCCUCGGGGCUCUAGAGUUUCUUGGUCACAGGAGUGACCGUUCAACAGGGAUCUUCCCCCUGGAGGAUCUGCUCCUGGAUAUCGAGGCCGAGAACACACAGGAGUGAAGCAAGGCGCCUCUUCUGUUCGCGGCUCAUAAAUUCUCGGCCUCAUUUCAGUACGCAUAGAUUCCGACAGGCUGGUCCCCUGGACCUGCCCUGAGGUAGGCGACCCGCUGCCGUCAAGUGACAUCUGUGACCCGAGCAGAAGGCGCCGAGGAGAGAAGCGCAGAGGCUGAGGGGGCCCGCGAUCUCUGGCUGGUGCCCUUGCCGUCUUGCCUACAUUACUGGCGUACGCUGAGGAAGGAGCAAUGGGCUGACCGCUCGCAUUACGGCGAAUAAAAAUUCCGGCAGACUCGCCAGCGACCGAAGAACUGGAGAUGACACGCUGGGGAAGCGAUACGUUCUUUGGCGGCCCUGUAGGCGCUUCGAGCAGACUAGUAGUGCAGCGCCGUUCGCUGAUACCACACUCAAGAGGUGGCCCAGCACCUACAAGUUCAUGAGGAUUAUGAACGGGGGAAGGCCGGCGACUCAUGCCGACGGGUGAGCGCGCUCCACCGGACAAGCACUGAGCUACACGGAGACGAAGAGGCAGGAUAUGGGAGGUCGGAUCAUCGCCGGGGAGGCUGCCUGUGAAACGUUUCAGUUUCGCCAUCUCAUGAACGCGUUUGACUGUGGCUUCGCAGGCAGCGGCCUCUUCCUCUACCGCUCGCAUACCCCAGGAAUAAUACCUAAUUAGGGAGAAGGCGUCUGACUUUAGGCGCCGGCUCUGACCCCGGAUUAGGCAGUGCAAAAUCAUCAGCCCGUUCUGCCUGUAGAGCAAAGUUGGGCAAAAGCCGUAUACUUCGCAAAGUGAAAAAAGGCAGCACUGAUUUGAAAAAAAAUGGAAAGGGCAACAAAGACGUUCCCUGUCGUAUACAAUUAAGAUACAAUUAAGACGAUGUGUUAAAGAUUUAAUGUUGCCUCCAUUCCUCUACAAGCCUAUGGUGUAUGUUUGUUAUCCCACGUCCAUGCUUGUGAUCCAUGGCUCUAGCAGGAAGACUUCGCGACUUUCCCGAAAGUGUCGCCCGUCUGUUACGUAGAAGCUAGCGUGAUAGCGUCUCAAAGCGAGACAAAUCCGGCAGUUAGUGCAGAUACGGACUCCAACGGGAGACCGAAGAAUCGGACUGUCUCGAUGUAUUGGCAAACAACCAAUGAACAUCGUGCACUCCUCCGAAGAUGUGUACGCUUCCGGUAUCGCAGUCGGGCUCACUUGUCGAAUGAUUCCUCGUAGAACGCCGCCACUCGCUUGGUGUGCUCCUCGAUGUUGAGUCGAUGGAGACAGUACAUAUCCCGCAAGUUCGUAAGAUGCAACUUUGUGGGCUCAACCAGAUGCAGAUACUCAUUCUUCAAAAGACUAGCUUGCCGAGUGGUGUCUAAAUCUUUCCAAGCAAUUGGAACAAACCUACGAAAGCAAU